GGCGAUUUGGGUGAGUGGUUUAGCCGUCGGUCCGCAAAACCGUACACAUUGGUUCGAUUCCAAUAAUCGCCU
rnacentral:tRNA from 1 species